rnacentral:rRNA from 1 species
CUACGGGCCGCUGCAGUGGGGAAUCUUAGACAAUGGGGGAAACCCUGAUCUAGCCAUGCCGCGUGAGUGACGAAGGCCUUAGGGUCGUAAAGCUCUUUCGCUGGGGAAGAUAAUGACUGUACCCAGUAAAGAAACCCCGGCUAACUCCGUGCCAGCAGCCGCGGUAAUACGGAGGGGGUUAGCGUUGUUCGGAAUUACUGGGCGUAAAGCGCGCGUAGGCGGACUGGAAAGUUGGGGGUGAAAUCCCGGGGCUCAACCCCGGAACGGCCUCCAAAACUAUCAGUCUAGAGUUCGAGAGAGGUGAGUGGAAUUCCGAGUGUAGAGGUGAAAUUCGUAGAUAUUCGGAGGAACACCAGUGGCGAAGGCGGCUCACUGGCUCGAUACUGACGCUGAGGUGCGAAAGCGUGGGGAGCAAACAGGAUUAGAUACCCGCGUAGUC